CAGCGCCACAAGUGGGAAUCGCAAUUAUUGGGCCUAAAGCGUCCGUAGCUGGUUUAGCGAAUCUCUUGUGAAAUCGUGGAGCUCAACUUCACGGCAUGCAGGGGACACUACUAAACUUGGAACCGGGAGGAGUCAGAGGAAUUUCAGGGGGAGCGGUAAAAUGUUAUAAUCCCUGGAAGACCACCUGUCGCGAAGGCGUCUGACUAGAACGGAUUUGACAGUGAGGGACGAAAGCCAGGGGAGCGAACCGGAUUAGAUACCCGAGUAGUCC
rnacentral:rRNA from 1 species